rnacentral:rRNA from 1 species
CCUGGCUCAGGAUGAACGCUAGCGGCAGGCUUAACACAUGCAAGUCGAGGGGCAUCGGGAGUAGCAAUACUGCCGGCGACCGGCGCAAGGGUGCGUAACGCGUGAGCAACAUGCCCGUAUCAGGGGGAUAAUCCAUGGAAACGUGGUCUAAUACCCCAUAGUAAUUAUGUAAGGCAUCUUAUAUAAUUUAAAGCUUUGGUGGAUACGGAUUGGCUCGCGUGACAUUAGCUAGAUGGUAAGGUAACGGCUUACCAUGGCUACGAUGUCUAGGGGUUCUGAGAGGAAGGUCCCCCACACUGGAACUGAGACACGGUCCAGACUCCUACGGGAGGCAGCAGUGAGGAAUAUUGGACAAUGGAUGGAAAUCUGAUCCAGCCAUGCCGCGUGCAGGAAGAACCGGCCCUAUGGGUUGUAAACUGCUUUUGUAUGGGAGCAAUAAGGGCUACGCGUAGUCCGAUGAGAGUACCAUACGAAUAAGCACCGGCUAACUCCGUGCCAGCAGCUGC